rnacentral:rRNA from 1 species
UGAGGAAUAUUGGUCAAUGGGUGCAAGCCUGAACCAGCCAUCCCGCGUGAAGGACGACUGCCCUAUGGGUUGUAAACUUCUUUUGUAUAGGGAUAAACCUACCCUCGUGAGGGUAGCUGAAGGUACUAUACGAAUAAGCACCGGCUAACUCCGUGCCAGCAGCCGCGGUAAUACGGAGGGUGCAAGCGUUAUCCGGAUUUAUUGGGUUUAAAGGGUCCGUAGGCGGACUUAUAAGUCAGUGGUGAAAGCCUGUCGCUUAACGAUAGAAACUGCCAUUGAUACUGUAAGUCUUGAGUAUAUUUGAGGUAGCUGGAAUAAGUAGUGUAGCGGUGAAAUGCAUAGAUAUUACUUAGAACACCAAUUGCGAAGGCAGGUUACCAAGAUAUAAACUGACGCUGAGGGACGAAAAGCGUGGGGAGCGAACAGGAUUAGAUACCCUGGUAGUCCACGCCGUAAAACGAUGCUAACUCGUUUUUGGGGCUUCGGCUUCAGAGACCAAAGCGAAAAGUGAUAAGUUAGCCACCUGGGGAGUACGCUCGCAAAGAGUGAAAACUUAAAAUGAAUUGACGGGGGUC